rnacentral:rRNA from 1 species
UAGGAAUAUUAGUAAUGGGCGAAAGCCUGAACUAGCAACGCCGCGUGUGCGAAGAAGGCCUUCGGGUUGUAAGGCACUUUUUGAGAGGAUGAGGAAGGACGGUACUCUCAGAAUAAGUCUCGGCUAACUACGUGCCAGCAGCCGCGGUAACACGUAGGAGGCGAACGUUAUCCGGAUUUACUGGGCGUAAAGCGCGUGUAGGUGGUUUGGUAAGUAGGGCGUGAAAGCUCCUGGCUCAACUGGGAGAGGCCGUUCUAAACUGCCGAACUAGAGGAUGGUAGAGGGAGGUGGAAUUCCGGGUGUAGCGGUGGAAUGCGCAGAUAUCCGGAGGAACACCAGUGGCGAAAGCGGCCUCCUGGACCAUUCCUGACACUCAGACGCGAAAGCUAGGGUAGCAAACGG